AGUGAACGCUGGCGGUAGGCCUAACACAUGCAAGUCGAACGGCAGCACAGUAAGAGCUUGCUCUUACGGGUGGCGAGUGGCGGACGGGUGAGGAAUACAUCGGAAUCUACUUUUUCGUGGGGGAUAACGUAGGGAAACUUACGCUAAUACCGCAUACGACCUACGGGUGAAAGCAGGGGAUCUUCGGACCUUGCGCGAUUGAAUGAGCCGAUGUCGGAUUAGCUAGUUGGCGGGGUAAAGGCCCACCAAGGCGACGAUCCGUAGCUGGUCUGAGAGGAUGGUCAGCCACACUGGAACUGAGACACGGUCCAGACUCCUACGGGAGGCAGCAGUGGGGAAUAUUGGACAAUGGGCGCAAGCCUGAUCCAGCCAUACCGCGUGGGUGAACAAGGCCUUCGGGUUGUAAAGCCCUUUUGUUGGGAAAGAAAAGCAGCAGGUUAAUACCCCGCUGUUCUGACGGUACCCAAAGAAUAAGCACCGGCUAACUUCGUG
rnacentral:rRNA from 1 species